rnacentral:miRNA from 1 species
AUACAUUAGAACGUGUCUGAACA